CUACGGGAUGCUGCAGUCAAGAAUCUUCCUCAAUGGACGAAAGUCUGAAGGAGCAAUGCCGCGUGAUCGAUGAAGCUUUUCGGAGUGUAAAGAUCUUUUAUCAGGGACGAAUUCGUGACGGUACCUGAUGAAUAAGUCACUGCUAACUACGUGCCAGCAGCAGCGGUAAUACGUAGGUGGCGAGCGUUACCCGGAUUGAUUGGGCGUAAAGGGUCCGCAGGCGGUUUGAAUAGUCAUUGGUCAAAUCUUGAGGCUUAACUUCAAGACUGCCAAUGAUACUGUCAAACUAGAGACUGGGAGAGGCAAACGGAAUUGCCGGUGUAGUAGUAAAAUACGUUGAUAUCGGUAGGAACACCAAAAGCGAAGGCAGUUUGCUAGAACAGUUCUGACGCCCAGGGACGAAAGCGUGGGUAGCGAAUGGGAUUAGAUACCCUUGUAGUC
rnacentral:rRNA from 1 species